CCUGUGGGGACAACCUCCAGUCUAAUGCAAUCCAUCCUCCGAGACUUCCCACAGCCAGACCCAGAUUCCCCCAUCUUCUGCUGCCCCUCGCUCUCCCAGAGCUUUUCCUGGGGGACACCCCAGAGCUGAGCCCGGCCCCAAACCCAACACGUGGACGAGCAAGGGGAACAAGGGACAUGUGAUCAGAUGGACACCGGUGUCAGAAGAGACUGAGAACCAGGAGGCUCCACAGUGUCUCUGAGUGCCCUGUCUCUGAGUGCCCUUGGUUCCAUGAGGCCCCACAGAAUCCCAGGAUGUGCUGUGGCAGCAGCACAAGAACAGAAGCAGCAGUCGUGCAACAACAGGGGAGCCGUGGAGGAGCAGAGAUGGAGCUCAGAAUAGCAGGAGAUGAGCAGUGGUGGAGCAGUGGUGGAACAGUGGUGGAGCAGUGUUGGACAAGCAGAGGAACUGUGCUGGAACACCCCCAGAGCAGCACUGGAGCAGCUUUUGAGCAGCAGUGGAGUAACCAUGGAAAAGGUGGAACAGUGGUGGGACAGGAGCCACAGCCAUGAACAGUGGUGGGACAGGAACCACAGCCAUGAACAGUGGUGGAACCGGAACCACAGCCAUGUGUGAUACUCACAUGCCCUCUGAACAGAGAGACAUAAUUCUGUCUCUCAGGUUUUUUCCUGGAGAAGUACAGAGGGAAAACAGUUUUUAUCUCUGCUUGCUGCUCCUGGUAUUCUGCACAAGUGGAAUGUGUUGGGAAGGUUGUUUACCUCAAGGAAUUUGGUCAUUGGAUUCUGGUGGAGAUUGUUUAUGUUAAUUAGCCCAUCAGGUCCAAGCUGUGCGGACCUGUGGGUCUGCAUACAGUCACAAGUUUUUAGUUAGAAGUAAGUAUUCUUUAGUAUUCUUUGUAGUAUUGUUAUAGUAUAGUAUAAUGUAACGUAAUAUAGUAUUAAUAAAGCGAGUGUUGAGCAUUCCAAA